AGAUUGAACGCUGGCGGCAGGCCUAACACAUGCAAGUCGAGCGGUAGAGAGGUGCUUGCACCUCUUGAGAGCGGCGGACGGGCGAGUAAUGCCUAGGAAUCUGCCUAGUGGUGGGGGAUAACGUUCGGAAACGGACGCUAAUACCGCAUACGUCCUACGGGAGAAAGCGGGGACCUUCGGGCCUCGCGCCAUUAGAUGAGCCUAGGCAGAUUAGCUAGUUGGUGAGGUAAAGGCUCACCAAGGCGACGAUCGUGUAGCGUGGUUUGAGAGAACGACCAGCCACACGUGGGACUGAGACCGACGGCCCAGACUCCGUACGGGAGCGAGCAGGUGGGAAUUUGGACAGUGGACGAAAGCCUAGACU
rnacentral:rRNA from 1 species